rnacentral:lncRNA from 1 species
CUGUCAUUUUCACCCCUUCAAGAGAAGCAUGUAUGUUCUCUCUUCCAGGAAAUAAUGUGUCCCAUAUCUCUGAGCACCCGCACUCCAAUCUUGAUCAUGUUCUCAAUAGAACAGAAGGCACCAAGCAAGCAAGCUACAAGUGGCAAACCAUGACUGCAGCUCUUUCUGUCCCUUAUAUCUUAUCCAGGCUACCCUUAAUCCUAGUAUCACACCCUGAAUCAACCCCAGCAUCACGUCCCUGAUCCCAGAAGCACAAACCCUAGAUCCAGCCACCUCUGAAAAGCUCCACCUAUGACUGCAUGAGGCUUUGGGGGACAUCUAGACACAGUGCCCUGCUUCAACUCUCUGGGCCUCUCCAGAGAGGCCUGGUGCACCCCACCCCACCCCGUUUAAAGGUUCUACCUUGCGCUUAUCGGCAAUCGAAUUCAGGACCUUGCACUUGCUAGGCAGACAAGGUGCCACUGAGUCACAUCCCUGGUCCAUGUUAUGGCUUAUAUCUAGAUGUCCUCUCAAAGCCUCAUGUGCUCAUAAGUGAGGCUUUUUGGACCUGGCUGGAUCUAGGGCGUGUGAUACUAGGAUUAAGAGUGUGUGGUACUAAAUUAGUCCACUGAUUGAAAUUAGCAUAGUUCUGGGGGCACCACCCAAAAAGGUGGCACCCUGGAUGGGAUAAGAGGGAAAGGCUAGGUGGCUGCUUGCUGCUUGAGGCCUUCUGCCUGCCCACACCAUGAGCUGUUUCUGCCCUGCAAUGCUCCUCUGCCAUGCUACCUUGCUUUGGAAACAGCCAACUAUGGACUAAAACCUCAAUAAACAGUGAGCCAAAAUAAACCUUUCCCCCUUUAACUUUGGAUGUUGGGUAUUUUAUCUCAGCAAUGAGAAAAGUAAUUAAGACAGCUUUGAUGUCAUAUAUACUGAGGACAGUAUAUAUGACAGUCAUAUAUACUGUGACAGUUCCUCUGCCUCAAUGGAAAGCCUUAUCUUAUUUUCACAUCCUCAAAUAACAGGAAUCAUUUUCAAUCACAGGGAGCCUCUAUGAAAACCAGGUCUUGCUCACUACCAGCCAUGGAUGGUCUUUGUGGCCCACGAAGCCCUAACUGGUUCCUUUUUCCCUUCUCAUCACACGCAGGUCCUCAG